CCUACGGUGGCAGCAGUGGGGAAUAUUGCACAAUGGGGGAAACCCUGAUGCAGCAACGCCGCGUGAAGGAAGACGGUUUUCGGAUUGUAAACUUCUGUUCUUAGUGAAGAAUAAUGACGGUAGCUAAGGAGCAAGCCACGGCUAACUACGUGCCAGCAGCCGCGGUAAUACGUAGGUGGCAAGCGUUGUCCGGAAUUACUGGGUGUAAAGGGAGCGCAGGCGGGAAGCCAAGUCAGCUGUGAAAACUACGGGCUUAACUUGUAGACUGCAGUUGAAACUGGUUUUCUUGAGUGAAGUAGAGGUUGGCGGAAUUCCGAGUGUAGCGGUGAAAUGCUUAGAGAUCAUACAGAACACCGAUUGCGAAGGCAGCUUACCAAACUAUAUCUGACGUUGAGGCACGAAAGCGUGGGUAGCAAACAGGAUUAGAUACCCCAGUAGUC
rnacentral:rRNA from 1 species